rnacentral:pre_miRNA from 14 species
AACAACAACGCUCAAUUUUUUAGGGGGUCAAACUGUACGCGAUAUGUGCCAAUAUAUAAAAUUCAUAAGCGUAUAGCUUUUCCCCUUAAAAGUUGCAGUGCAAACAA